UGGCGCAGUUGAGAGCCACUGAACAAAGGCAGUUGAGCUGAGACAUGACUUUGUGUCGAGCUGCUUUUAAUAACUAAACGGAACAUAAGUCGCAGUUUGAAUCAGUUCCAAUCACUGUUUUGAUUUCAUUUGAAAUUCCUGAAUCGGCAAACAGCUUAUAUUUCCAGGGGUGUGACCUUACAUGUCGUGGAAUAUACCAAAUUACGCAAACCCUGAGAGUUGCCACCUGGUGAAAAAUACCGCUGAAACAAAACUUAUUUCAUGAUGAAAAAUCAGGCUUGGCCACAUUGCUACAUAACAGCAGCGGCGUGCUAUAGCUAACAGCUUUGGGAACAUUAAUAACUGGGAGUUCUUCGUUUUUUUUUUAUAAUAUACAUAUUUGAAAUGUUACAUUUGCCUCAUGUAAAAAUCCAUAACAAAGACUGGUUUUUUCAAAUUUUUAAAAAUCUUUCUGCUUAAAUUUUUCUAUAAUUUAUGUCGCUCAUUUAUUUAUUAUUUGGUGGUUAAAGUUUGUUUACAUUCUGCGCAGCAGUUUUACAUCGGAACGGCUACACUAAAAACUUACUGUUGCCCAUAUUUUGUUAUUUCCGCGACUCGAUCAAAUGUGAAAAAACUGAGUGGCUGUGGAAAUGGUACAUUAUUAAAAGUAUGGUGAGACCAUAUUGAGCGCAAUAUUCAUAUAUGGUGUAAAUGUAU